UACGUAGGUGGCAAGCGUUGUCCGGAAUUACUGGGCGUAAAGAGCGCGUAGGCGGGAAUUUAAGUCAGGAGUGAAAACUGCCGGCUCAACUGGCAGCCUGCUCUUGAAACUGGAUUUCUUGAGGGUAUGAGAGGAAAGCGGAAUUCCUAGUGUAGCGGUGAAAUGCGUAGAUAUUAGGAGGAACACCAGUGGCGAAGGCGGCUUUCUGGCAUACAACUGACGCUGAGGCGCGAAAGCGUGGGGAGCAAGCGGG
rnacentral:rRNA from 1 species